ACAGAGUUCACUCAAAAUGGCUGCUUCAAACCAAAGAGACUUUUUCUUGCAUCCUGUUAUGAGACAUGUCCACCCCAUUUCGUGUCGAUGGGUGAAACUGGUGUCUGGGGUGUUCGUCAAAGUAGCAGCCCUGGAAUUUCCCCAAAAUGGCUGCUUCAAACCAAAAUGGCUGACCUCCGUUGAAUUUCAGGCAUGGGUCAUUCAAACUUUUUCAUGCAUCCUAUGAUGAUAGACAUGUUCACUCUGUUUCGUACAAAUGGAUGAAACUGGUGUCCCGGGCUGAUUUCUUUCUAACCCUGCUGGGAGUGCUUCUGAAACAACGUCACCAGGCCCAGAAAUCCACGGCGCGGAGGUGGAGUGGUGGAAAAACGCCAAGAAUGUCGAUAUACCGCCAUGAGAUGUGGGCAGGACCCCUUGUCUCGGCUAUCCUGUGCCAAGAGGCCUCAUUGGGAUGCUGAGGCCGCUCGAGGUCCUCUCGUCUUCUCUUCUCCCAUAGUCAUCACCUUUCUUCAUCACCAUGAGCCCUAAUACUGCAGCUUGGAAAAUUCCACACUGCAGCAAAAUGAGGGGUGGCAGAGGAAAGAGCAGGAGAAAGAGAGAGAGAGAGAAAGAGGCGCAGGUACGACGGAGUGGGAGGGACAAGAUGAGAAUGUUUAAAAGCAGGAAUUGAUGAUGUGAAUGUAUCUGCAUGAUGUAGAAGGACCGUGUUCAUGAUGCGAGUCCUCUAAGAGAGAAUUAGUAUUGGGGCCUGUGCAUUCCUUUAAACAGUUCACAGGCAUGCAUAAGUACAGGCACAAAAAGUAGGACAGCAAAUUGCUGCGGGAAAUGAAGUGUCUACAAUAUAAUGGGCAGAGGGAAAGCUGCAUUUUGAAUUUGUACAAAAUAGGAUGGAGGCAGACUGAGAGUGAGUGAGGUUGGAGUGAUGCAGCUCUCUGUACACACUUAACUCUGCAGAAACGUGCAUCAAUCAUCACGUGCACAGAGAUUGACCAGAAAAGCAAUGCAGUGCCCAAUACUCCUGCACCCACAAACACAAUUUACGAGGCUGACAGCCUCAUCUGUGCUGUGAAUCAUGCCACCACGGUCACAACGUCAGGUACACUUGCACAAUCUAAAAUAUGCUUACUUGUGGCUCUAAUGCAAAACAUUAGAAACAAGUCAAUGCAGCAAUGUCUUUCUAUACCACUGCAAAUUAGAAGAUGUACCUGAUAUGAUGACCGGCAAAUGUACAGUGGAUAUAAAAAGUCUAAAAACCCCUGUGUUUUGAGAUAUUAAAAAAUGAGAUGAAAAUAAAACUUAUUACAGCAUUAAUCUACUGUAAAACCCAAAUCUUUUUGAGAGGGCAAAUAAAAAUAAACGGUUAAAAAUAAAAAAAAAUAAAAAAAAGUUUCCCACCAUAACUGAGAUGUGUCACAUUUAAACUCAAGAUAAAUGGGAGUCAACACUCACUUGCCACCAUUUAAAGUGCAUCUGAUUAACCCCCCCCCCAGCCCCCAAAUUUGAGAUUUUCUCAUUGGCUUUUUGUGACUUUGCUUUCUACUAGAUGAUCAAAUCCAUCUGAAAAAAAACAGCCCCAAAGCUUGAUACUGACACCACCAUUAUUUGUUGUAGGUAUGGUGUUGUUUUGGUGAUGACCAGUGUUGUGUUUGUACCAAUCAUGCCUUUUGGAAUUACGGCCAAAAAUUUCAAUCUUGGCUUCAUUGGACCAUAAUGACACAUUUCCGUACAUGUUUGAAACAUUUUUAGCCGGAAUUUAUUUGGACUAAUGAGACUCACUUUAAAUGGUGGCAGGUGUGUGGACCAUUGAAUAUGAGUUUGAAUAUGCUACAUCCUAGUGAUACAGGGAUGUGCAAAUUUUCUCUGUUGUUUAUUUUACCCUCUCGAAAGUUGGGCAAGUUAAAGGUCAGAUUAAUGGUGAAAAAAUAUAUGGCAUAAUUGACCUUGGUCUAAUUUUUUUUUAUAUUGCAAAAACCUGACAUUUGAGCAGGCAAAUACUUUUUAUAGCCACUGUAUGUAUAUGACCUAUUUUCACCAUGCAUGGGUCACAACAGACGUCACAACCUCAAUCAAUCAACCUGCCUGUAGGUAAUAUUCCACCCACAUUGAUUCAAACAACAAGCUGUACUAAUGUGUUAUCGAGUGGCAGCAUGUAGAUUGCAAUUGGACGGAUGGAGCCGGGUGACUGAAUGAAGUGUGUCUCACUGAUACCAACACUCAUCAUCUUCAUUAUGUUCAAGUCUAUAUUUUAAGACCUGUUCUUUGAAUGAUGAGGUUAAGACCUGAGCACCACACAUUUAAAUAAUAGUGGUGCUCUUUUCAAACUUGGAAAGAGAAGUUCAGGAUGAUCAAACUCUUUGUUUUAGGAAGACCAGAACAAAAUUAAUGACUAAUAGGUGCUGAAAAUAUAAGUCCUGUACACCAUAAUAAAGUUUAUUUAUUAAUGAUAAUGAAUAAAAAAUAACUUUUCAUAUUUCACUUCAUACUUUUGUUGACACAGAUCAGUGGUGGGCAAAGUAUGGCGACACGGCCCACUGUAGAAUUUACAUUAUCAAGAGUUCUAUAACAUUUUAGUUACAAGUAAGUAAAAUAAACAAUGUACAUAUAAAUCUGACUUUCUAAAAAAUAGUUUAUUGAAAAAUAUGGAUUCAUUAAUUAAAAUUAAGUUAAUUAUACAGUAGAUAAUUACAUUAAAAAUGAGGAUGGAUUAUUAUCCAUCCAUCCAUUUUCUGAGCCGCUUCUCCUCACUAGGGUCGCGGGCAUGCUGGAGCCUAUCCCAGCUGUCAUCGGGCAGGAGGCGGGGUACACCCUGAACUGGUUGCCAGCCAAUCGCAGGGCACAUCGAAACAAACAACCAUUCGCACUCACAGUCAUGCCUACGGGCAAUUUAGAGUCUCCAAUUAAUGCAUGUUUUUGGGAUGUGGGAGGAAACCGGAGUGCCCGGAGAAAACCCACGCAGGCACGGGGAGAACAUGCAAACUCCACACAGGCGGGGACGGGGAUUGAACCCCGCACCUCAGAACUGUGAGGCUGACGCUCUAACCAGUCGGCCACCGUGCCGCGAUGGAUUAUUAUUUUAUUCAUAAUUAAUCUUGGUGGGAUGGGUGGACGACAGAUAGAAAGAGCUGCUGACAUCUGACAGGAACUGGAGCUCUACUGCUCACGGCAGUUAGACUUUUUUUUUUUUUUUUUUUUAAUCAAUCAGCAAUAUUGUUCCGUUUCCUCAUUCUCCAAUGUUGUGUAUGUUGUUGUAUUUAGCAUUGCACGUUAUGACCCGUCCAUUUGUCUUUGUUUGCCUUUGUGCAGUUAUUUGCUUCUUGGUAAUGCCGCUGAACUUUCUCGUGAAUUAUUUACUCUUGGGUCUCUCGCUGAAAUGUCAAUAGCCAAGCUCUUGUUACAGUGCGACUUGAAAUGUGUCCAUGUCUAUACCAUGCAUGCUAAUUCGCUGAAGAAAAGCAUAUGUUUACCACACUAUGGAUGGCGUUGUGUUUCUCUGCUCGACCUUAGACCCCCUAUUGCUGAGAGUGAAACGUGUAAGGUUUCUCACAUUCCCUUCUAUUUAGAAUACAAAGACGAGAAAGCACACUGAUCAAAAAAUGUGGAUUAGUGUUUACACUCAAAAACUCUGAUCCCACACAAACUCUGUGACACGAAAUGUGGAACUGAUAAACAUGUACUUCUGGAUUCUAUGUAAAGUACUUCCAGGAACUCCACCUCAGUUUUUGGAUCAGAAAUAGAUGUUUGGGGAACAGUUUAUAACUCCCAGCCCUCCAUCAUAACUCUUUACUGUCACCAACACCAGUGAAGCAAUUCCAUUUUCUCUCACAA